AUUAAAUCCUAGCAAUGAAUUCACAAAUGGCACAUGUUCACCAUUAGUUCAUUAAGGAAGGUAUCUACCUUGGAUAUUUUCUGGUAAUGCUUGGUUAAUUCAGAUUUUAGUUGUUGCAGCUUUUAAAUACACUUCACAAUUGGGGUUUUCCCCGAUUCCAUUGUUGAUCAUUUCCAUUAGUCCAAAUGAAUGAGUUUGUAUGCUAGCCAUUUUCAUGGUCUGAGUUUAUAAGCCUCACACUUGGAAUUUUCUGUGAAAGCAAAAACCCCAUUUUUCUAGAAAAUAAAUUAUUUUUCUCCAUAAAUUUUAUUAACUGCCUUUGCUUCCAAGACAUGCAUUAAACAAGGAAACGGCAAAAUAGAAUACUGAUUCCUCAUUCCACGUUUAAGCAUUUUACAAAUACUGUAUGAGUUUAUUCCUUAACAUUAUUCAUAAUAACAUUUAUUACCACAUUUAUGUCUCUAGAAAGAGAUCAUGACCCUGCCACUCAUCUGUUCUGCUUGCUUUGAGGAUCUUCAAUGUGCUUUGUACAAUUAGCAUUAAUCUUAACUUCUCCAAAGUUGUUCGUGUUCAUAUGUUUACCAAGAGUACACUCAGCAUUGUGCUAUCUACUGUAAGAGGCAGAAUAAAGGUAAGCCAUACAAGCUCCUUUCAACCUUCCCAGGGAAGAAUGUUAUGCCAUCGAAAAUUACUAGGAAGCUUUCUUACAGGAGAAGAAAAUAAGUUUCUCGAUUGCUUUAAAAAAUUACCUAGAAAAUCAACCCCUUACUUUCUCAUGGCAACUGAAAUAAAUGUAUACGUCAAUGAAAAGAAAUGUAAAUCAAUUUCAAUGUCUUCAUGGAGCUGCAAACUUUGUUAUUGUCCCUCUAGUACAAUAUAGAUUCCAUAAACCAUGUCGAAGGAGACAGAAGAAAUUACUUCCAUGUGAUAUGUUCAGUUGGAUGAGACUUUUUAGGCUUUUGUAUUCUACUUUAUAAGUGCAUUCUAAUUUAAAUGCAUUCUUAAGCAUACCAAAAUAAAAC
rnacentral:lncRNA from 1 species